CCUACGGGCGGCAGCAGUGAGGAAUAUUGGUCAAUGGACGAGAGUCUGAACCAGCCAAGUAGCGUGAAGGAUGACUGCCCUAUGGGUUGUAAACUUCUUUUAUAUGGGAAUAAAAUGUUCCACGUGUGGGAUUUUGUAUGUACCAUAUGAAUAAGGAUCGGCUAACUCCGUGCCAGCAGCCGCGGUACUACGGAGGAUCCGAGCGUUAUCCGGAUUUAUUGGGUUUAAAGGGAGCGUAGGUGGAUUGUUAAGUCAGUUGUGAAAGUUUGCGGCUCAACCGUAAAAUUGCAGUUGAAACUGGCAGUCUUGAGUACAGUAGAGGUGGGCGGAAUUCGUGGUGUAGCGGUGAAAUGCUUAGAUAUCACGAAGAACUCCGAUUGCGAAGGCAGUUCACUGGACUGCAACUGACACUGAGGCUCGAAAGUGUGGGUAUCAAACAGGAUUAGAUACCCUUGUAGUC
rnacentral:rRNA from 1 species